rnacentral:tRNA from 2 species
GGAGGGGUGGCAGAGCGGUUGAAUGCACUGGUCUUGAAAACCAGCAGGCGUCUUACGGCGUCUCGAGGGUUCGAAUCCCUCCCCCUCCG